UACAGAGGUCUCGAGCGUUAGGCGGAAUCACUGGGCUUAAAGCGUGUGUAGGCGGAUGCCUAAGUACCUUGUGAAAUCCCACGGCUUAACCGUGGAACUGCUUGGUAUACUGGGUGUCUUGAGCCACUCAGGGGCGAGCGGAACAAAUGGUGGAGCGGUGAAAUGCGUAGAUAUCACUUGGAACGCCAAUGGUGAAAACAGACUGCUGGGGGUGUGCUGACGCUGAGACACGAAAGCCAGGGGAGCAAACGGG
rnacentral:rRNA from 1 species